rnacentral:rRNA from 1 species
UUCGCAAUGCCCGAAAGGGUGACGAAGCGACGCCGCGUGGGUGAGGAAGGCCCUCGGGUUGUAAAGCCCUGUCAGGAGUUAAGAAAUGUAAGUGCGCUAAUAUCGCAUUUAUUUGACGAAGGCUCCAAAGGAAGCCACGGCUAACUCUGUGCCAGCAGCCGCGGUAAUACAGAGGUGGCAAGCGUUGUUCGGAAUUAUUGGGCGUAAAGAGCACGUAGGUGGAUUUGUAAGUCAGAUGUGAAAGCCUUCUGUUCAACGGAAGAAUUGCAUCUGAAACUACAAACCUUGAGUGUAGGAGGGGAGAAUGGAACUUCUGGUGGAGCGGUGAAAUGCGUAGAUAUCAGAAGGAACGCCGGCGGCGAAAGCGAUUCUCUGGCCUAUUACUGACACUCAGUGUGCGAAAGCUAGGGGAGCAAACGGGAUUAGAUACCCCGGUAGUCCUAGCCGUAAACGAUGGGCACUAAGUAGAGGGGUUUU